GUGAGAGGGUCAUGAGGUGCUUCUGUUUCACUACAUAGCUGGGAGGAGUGUGAGGGUCAUGAGGUGCUUCUGUUUCACUCUACAUAGCUGGGAGGAGUGUGAGGGUCAUGAGGUGCUUCUGUUUCACUACAUAGGUGGGAGGAGUGUGAGGGUCAUGAGGUGCUUCUGUUUCACUCUACAUAGCUGGGAGGAGUGAGAGGGUCAUGAGGUGCUUCUGUUUCACUACAUAGCUGGGAGGAGUGUGAGGGUCAUGAGGUGC